CGAAGUUUCCCUCAGGAUAGCUAGCGUUGAACAGUUUUUUCAGGUAGGGCGACUGAGUAGAGGAAUCGGGGCGCGUUGUCUUCGACCUAUUCUCAAAAGUUUUACAUGGGCAAGACGGUAAGACCCACAGUCGUUACUUGAUUGGGCAGUUUUGGAAGAAAGGACUGGCGAUGAGGGAUGAACCUAACGCUCAUCAGAUACCACAAAGGGUGUUGGUUCAUUUUGAUGGCAGGACGCUGGUCAUGGACGUCGAAAUCCGCUGAGGAGUGUGUAAUAAUUCAGCUGCCGAAUGGACUAGCUGACUAGCCCCGGAAAUGGAUGACGCUCCAGCUGGCGACCGAUGCCCGACCACUGCUGCAAUUUUCACAAGUCGGCGAUGG
rfam:Symbiodinium microadriaticum strain CCMP2467 Smic.scaffold548, whole genome shotgun sequence.